rnacentral:rRNA from 1 species
GAUGAACGCUAGCUACAGGCUUAACACAUGCAAGUCGAGGGGCAGCGCAGUGUAGCAAUACAUGGGCGGCGACCGGCGCACGGGUGCGUAACGCGUAUCCAACCUUCCCGUUACUCAGGGAUAGCCUUCCGAAAGGGAGAUUAAUACCUGAUGGUGUUCAAAUUCCGCAUGUUAUUUGAACUAAAGAUUUAUCGGUAACGGAUGGGGAUGCGUGACAUUAGAUAGUAGGCGGGGUAACGGCCCACCUAGUCUACGAUGUCUAGGGGUUCUGAGAGGAAGGUCCCCCCACACUGGAACUGAGACACGGUCCAGACUCCUACGGGAGGCAGCAGUGAGGAAUAUUGGUCAAUGGGCGAGAGCCUGAACCAGCCAAGUAGCGUGAAGGAAGACUGCCCUAUGGGUUGUAAACUUCUUUUGUUCGGGAAUAAAGUGCAGUACGCGUACUGUUUUGUAUGUACCGUUCGAAUAAGCAUCGGCUAAUUCCGUG